ensembl:lncRNA
ACCUGUCUUAUCCUUUGGCUCUAGUAAAAUCCUUAAAAAACUAAUUAGCUACAGAAACUGCACAAGUGAACUGCACAAAUGAACAGCUGAUAUCUGAAACCACAACAGAAUGGCAAUUCUCCCUGUCCUAUUUCUUCUCCCUGCCUGUAUUAGCAGGGGCUGGUCUCUCAAAAUGGAAUUAUUUCUCAGGAGCUCAUCUGUUCCUUCUGUGCCAAGAACAAAGGGGAAAAAUAUUUUAAAUGAGUGUGAUGUGAACAGGAUCACUGCAAAGUAAAAUGUUUUUCAAAGCUUCCCAGGAGGUAUCACUAGUUUUUUAGAUCCAUCUGGAAUUCAAUCAUUGUUACUUGCCAGCUGCUGCUGGGACUUUCCAGUUGUUUCUCCUUUCUGGACACAACAUGUAGUGGGAGCAGUUUUUGCUGCUGAUAAAGCUCUGAAGGACAGCCACAUAAGCUGGGAAUGCAGGCAGCUUUUUGGUUCUACUUUUUGAAUUGGACAAAAUUUAUUAAGUACUUUCUUGGCUGCUUAGAGCUGGGGUAAUUGGAGGGUACAAUUUCUGAAAUUCCACACAACAGCCAGCAGAAGAAUCCCUUUUUUGCACAAUCCUGAUAGUUUUAUUCAAAGUUACAGGCUGAAUUUGGAGGGCACAUAUGAUAGGAUUUAUAUUCUAUAUUUUAUGCCCUGAAAGACAGUCUCUAAAGGCAUGCAAAUUUAUCUCAAAAAAACCCCCAUUUAACUUAAAAAAUAAAUAAUGAAACUUAUAUACUCUAGAUAUUAAUCCUCACUAUCUACCAAAUUGACCCUGAUAUACAAAGAGCAAGACUCAAACAAAAUUAUUUCUACUCACCUGUUUAAGCAGCACUAAAUAUUUUGCUGCCCCUUGCAUAGUCUAAAUUUGGAUUACUGGCAUGUUCUGUAUCCCUCACUGCCAGGAGAGAAGGACUGCAACUACAACCUUCUGCAGGUGCUGAGCUCAAGCAUUGCAAUGACUCCUCACAGCUUGUGGUCAAUUGUAUUCCUCAGCAGUGGAGAGCUUGAUUAACACAUCACAUUCCCAGAAAAGUGCCUUAUUCUUUCUUAAGUUUUCUGGAAAGUGAUUCUAAUUGCAUUUUACGGAUAUUUGUUUAUUCAGUUUAGUUGCCUCAGACACCUGCAAGCUAAGGUAAAGAGAAACAACAAAAAAAUCCAACUUAAAGCAACUGUUUGGGAAACAACUGUUAAGAUGCUUGUCAAUGACAGGGUUGGAAAGUGAGUAGACAUAAAUUUUUAGAAGAAAAAUCAAUGGACCCCUAAGGUGUAUUUUCCUGGGUGUCUUGGAGCUAGUCCUGCUUUGCACCCCAUAUUGAUGCCUUGGAGGUUUGGCCUUUUAGUAUCACACAAAUCUAAAAGAAAUGUGAUAACACUGAACAUGACAAUGUGUUGCUAAAAACAAGCUGCCAAGCAGCUUAAAAAAGCUGUCAGACUACCUGUCAAUAAAUGUGCAUUGUUUGGUGAAGUGGAUCCCAGCUGCAAAUUCUGGGAGAUGAGAGGGUGUUACACACCCCACAAAGUUUCUCUUUGUCCGUGCAGGAUGUCAGGACAAUGACAAUGCAAACAAACUGAGGGCAUCAAAAGGAAUAUCUCAGUAACAUUAUUGACCUUUCUGGUGCAUAUUCAACCAGGCAGCAUCUCAAAACUUCUGUCAAAUAAUGAAUCAAGACAUUAAUAGCAGGAUGAAGUCUUUUGCUCACAGGUUAUUGGUCUGAACCUAGACAGGUAACAGAUUUUGAGAUGGGGACCUAUUAUGUGACUGUCAUUGGGCCAAAACAAUGAAAAGUAAAGGAGAUUCAGAUCCAGGAUUUCAUUCUGUGACAUUCUUAAAUCAAGGAUGACUUCAGGGAGGUAAGGCAGGCUUUGUCAAAUAUGUGAAUCAUGAUGUGA